rnacentral:rRNA from 1 species
GAUGAACGCUAGCUACAGGCUUAACACAUGCAAGUCGAGGGGUAACAAGAGGAAAGCUUGCUUUCUUUGUUGACGACCGGCGCACGGGUGAGUAACGCGUAUCCAACCUGCCUAUAACUAGGGAAUAACCUUGCGAAAGUAAGACUAAUACCCUAUGAUUUCCUAUGAUGACAUCAGAUUAGGAAUAAAGAUUUAUCGGUUAUAGAUGGGGAUGCGUCUGAUUAGCUUGUUGGCGGGGUAACGGCCCACCAAGGCAACGAUCAGUAGGGGUUCUGAGAGGAAGGUCCCCCACAUUGGAACUGAGACACGGUCCAAACUCCUACGGGAGGCAGCAGUGAGGAAUAUUGGUCAAUGGGCGGAAGCCUGAACCAGCCAAGUAGCGUGCAGGAUGACGGCCCUAUGGGUUGUAAACUGCUUUUAUACAGGAAUAAAGUUAGCCACGUGUGGUUAUUUGUAGGUACUGUAUGAAUAAGGACCGGCUAAUUCCGUGCCAGCCGCCGCAGUAA